CUCACCCCCCCCACAACCCUUCAAUCGCCGCAGCCCCUGGAAAUGGAAAAACGAAGGGCGAAUUGUGUUAUGGUUUUUGUUUUCGUUUGUAUAUUUUCCCUUUUUUAUUGGUAAGAUUUGUUCAAACCUCAUCCUGCCAUUGAUUUUCAUAACUGCUUCCCAGAGCCUCCCCAAUUUCUUCCCCGCAGAAGCCCUCUCCUUCCCUUCCUACGACGGAGCCUCGGAGUUCGGCGAUAUUAUCGGUAAUAUCGAUAAUAUCGAUAUUAUCGCGAUAUUUUGACGAUAAAUGACUGGAUAUGUGUAAAAAUAUCGCUCUCUGUAAAAAACGAUAUUAUCGGCGAUAUUUCGCCGAUAAUAUCGAUAUUUAAAACCAUGCUUUCAUCAAUUAAACAGGCUCCACUAUUAAUGAGAGGAAGAGAUAGACUUUAAGAGUUUUGUUGAUGCACAAAAUCAGAGGUUUUGAAACAGCGUAAAUCCGACCGUGAAUCUGCAUAAAAUGUAAAUAACACAAGAUGUAUCGUGGUUCACCCCAAGGUUUGGGCUACGUCUACACUGAUAUUAUUUCUGAGAUGUUGAAGAGGGAGAGAGAGAGCUUCUCUGUUAGAAUGAGAGCUCUGAAAGGGUGAGGGUAUGGCCUCAGAAAAUGGCCUCUCCCUAAUUGUGAGGGUGAGGAAUCCCUUUAUAGAAUAAGGACUCCUCACUUAUUAAAUAUUUGCCCCUUCCAUAAUUACAUUUAAGUCUCCCGAGUAUUUAUACGAGAUCUAAAUACGGAGGCCCUAAGUAUGGUAUAAACAAGUUUGAUUUCUUACCUGUUCCAAGUCAUGAUAUCAGGAUUGAUUUCACCAUUUUAUUGAAAAUGUAAUGUAGAUUGUGUAUAUUUUAUUAUGAAUAAUGAUUGUGUUUCCACAAGGGAAAUUAUUUGUCUCUCUACUCAUAAUUAAUGUAUUUUUACUAUAUAAAUAUUAGGGUAAAUAUCAGUUUAUUACCGUUAAGUUUCGUGGUUUUCAACAUUUGGUACAUGAAGUUUUUUUCGUCCCAGAGUCAUACCUAAAGUGUUAAUUUUGGGACAGUCUCAUACAUCCGUUAGUCAAACUGUUAACACUGCCGUUAACUGAUGAUGUGGUGUUAUGUGGAUAAUGACUGGACACCACAUGUCAUUAAGGGGUCCACGUGGAAAUUAAAAACUCAAAAAAAUAAAUAUUUAAAGAAAAAUAAAAA
rnacentral:lncRNA from 1 species